UACGUAGGGUGCAAGCGUUGUCCGGAAUUAUUGGGCGUAAAGAGCUCGUAGGCGGUUUGUCGCGUCUGCUGUGAAAACGCGAGGCUCAACCUCGCGCCUGCAGUGGGUACGGGCAGACUAGAGUCCGGUAGGGGAGUGUGGAAUUCCCGGUGUAGCGGUGAAAUGCGCAGAUAUCGGGAGGAACACCGAUGGCGAAGGCAGCACUCUGGGCCGGCACUGACGCUGAGGAGCGAAAGCGUGGGGAGCGAACAGG
rnacentral:rRNA from 1 species